rnacentral:rRNA from 1 species
AUUGAACGCUGGCGGCAGGCCUAACACAUGCAAGUCGAGCGGUAGAGAGGUGCUUGCACCUCUUGAGAGCGGCGGACGGGUGAGUAAUGCCUAGGAAUCUGCCUGGUAGUGGGGGAUAACGUUCGGACACGGCCGCUAAUACCGCAUACGUCCUACGGGAGAAAGCAGGGGACCUUCGGGCCUUGCGCUAGCAGCUGCGCCUAGGUCGGAUUAGACAGUUGGUGAGGUAAUGGCUCACCAAGGCGACGAUCCGUAACUGGUCUGAGAGGAUGAUCAGUCACACCGGAACUGAGACACGGCCCAGACUCCUACGGGAGGCAGCAGUGGGGAAUAUUGGACAAUGGGCGAAAGCCUGAUCCAGCCAUGCCGCGUGUGUGAAGAAGGUCUUCGGAUUGUAAAGCACUUUAAGUUGGGAGGAAGGGUACUUACCUAAUACGUGAGUAUUUUGACGUUACCGACAGAAUAAGCACCGGCUAACUCUGUGCCAGCCGCCGCCGUAAGAC